UGAGUAACCUGCCCUUAACUCUGGGAUAAGCCUGGGAAACUGGGUCUAAUACCGGAUAUGACUCCUCAUCGCAUGGUGGGGGGUGGAAAGCUUUAUUGUGGUUUUGGAUGGACUCGCGGCCUAUCAGCUUGUUGGUGAGGUAAUAGCUCACCAAGGCGAUGACGGGUAGCUGGUCUGAGAGGAUGGCCAGCCACAUUGGGACUGAGACACGGCCCAGCUCCGUAG
rnacentral:rRNA from 1 species